UUUGCCCGCGGCUUCACACUUGUUAUAUUUGUAGUAUUUUAAUGGAAUUUUUUGCUGUAAUAAGACAUCUUUUCCAUCAAAAACCUAAAAUAAGUUAUAAUGCAUGUUUUAAUCUUUCCAAAAAUCCCCAACCUGUUUCUUCCCAAUUUACCAAACCAAAAUUAGUGAUAAACCAUAGUCUACAUUAUAAUUUUAGUGCUGAUUCAUCCAUACAUUUUUUUUUCAGGUAAAUCUCUAGCAACAUACAUACACAAAGUGGAAGUUGAGCCUCAUUUAGUGUUACAGAAGCAUCAAUCCAGAGAGUAAGGCUUUGGGAUGCUCAUGUUGGACAUGUGUCAUGCAAACAUCGGAACUAAUACAAAACUAGUCCAAACAUAUCUCUGUGACCCUCUGACAAAUAUUUUAUAGAAGUCUAAGGUAUAUUCAUUUUCAUUGACUUGAAACAUUAUUCAGGAUAUAUAUGAUGCAGAAACGCCAUUAUGUGGUAAAAAAAUAUAUAAUCAUAUAAUAAAUAAUAAAAAUACACUAACAAAUGACAAGCAUUCACAAAACUUGAUGUAUGGUUCAUUAACAAAGAAAAUAAAUCAUUUGUGGUU